UCAAACUUGGUCAUUUAGAGGAAGUAAAAGUCGUAACAAGGUUUCCGUAGGUGAACCUGCGGAAGGAUCAUUAAUGAAACUUGGUUGGGUUGUUGCUGGCUUUCUUUGGAAGCAAGUGCACACCUACUCCAUUUCAACCACCUGUGCACCUUCUGUAGACUUUGAAAUAAUUUUCAAGGGGAUAUUUUCCUUGGGCUUUAGAGAUCUGCUGUGCGGAAAAGGCCAGCUUUUCUUGUGUUUCCAAGUCUAUGUUUUUCUUGCAUUAUACCCCAUAAAGUGUAAUAGAAUGUUACUAUAGGCUUUUUGUGCCUUUAAAAACAAUACAACUUUCAACAACGGAUCUCUUGGCUCUCGCAUCGAUGAAGAACGCAGC
rnacentral:misc_RNA from 1 species